GGAUGGUUCGUCUAUAAGAGAAGGACCUAAUAUAAACCGAGAUGGAAGAUUUGAGCAUGGUGUAGUCUAGAGAAGAAUGAGAAGGAAGAGGAGGAACCAAAGCCAUUGUUCAGAAAAGAAGAGAAAAAUAGAAGAGGCGAAAAGUGAAAAGAAAAGAGAGAUGAAAAGAAAAGGCGAAAGGUAGAAGACAACAGAAGAAAGAAAGAGAUGAGAAAGAGAUUUCGUUGGAGAAGACGAAAAAAGAGUAAAAGAGAUAGAAGAGACAAAAAGGAUGAGAAACUUGGGGAAGAAGAAAAGCNGCCAUUGUUCAGAAAAGAAGAGAAAAAUAGAAGAGGCGAAAAGUGAAAAGAAAAGAGAGAUGAAAAGAAAAGGCGAAAGGUAGAAGACAACAGAAGAAAGAAAGAGAUGAGAAAGAGAUUUCGUUGGAGAAGACGAAAAAAGAGUAAAAGAGAUAGAAGAGACAAAAAGGAUGAGAAACUUGGGGAAGAAGAAAAGCAGUCGUAUUGAACCGUAACCUCGAAGCGAGUUCUGAGGUCGGUUAUAAUGAUGAAUAGACGGCGGCAAUUAAG
rnacentral:lncRNA from 1 species